GACGAAGGAUGCAAGCGUUAUCCGGAUUCAUUGGGGUUUAAAGGGAGCGUAGGUGGCCUUAUAAGUCAGUGGUGAAAUCUCUGGGCUUAACCCAGAAAUUGCCAUUGAUACUGUAGGGCUUGAGUAUAGUUCCGUUGGCGGAAUAUGACAUGUAGUGGUGAAAUACAUAGAGAUGUCAUAGAACACCGAUUGCGAAGGCAGCUGACGAAACUAUAACUGACACUGAGGCUCGAAAGUGCGGGGAUCAAACAGG
rnacentral:rRNA from 1 species